UACGGAGGGUGCAAGCGUUAUCCGGAUUCACUGGGUUUAAAGGGUGCGUAGGUGGGUCUGUAAGUCAGUGGUGAAAUCUCCGAGCUUAACUCGGAAACUGCCGUUGAUACUAUAGGUCUUGAAUCAUCUGGAGGUAAGCGGAAUAUGUCAUGUAGCGGUGAAAUGCUUAGAUAUGACAUAGAACACCAAUUGCGAAGGCAGCUUACUACGGAUGCAUUGACACUGAGGCACGAAAGCGUGGGGAUCAAACAGG
rnacentral:rRNA from 1 species